rnacentral:rRNA from 1 species
ACGGGGUAGGAUCACGUAGGUGACGUACCCUCAGGGCGAGGAUAGCCACGGGAAACUGUGGGUAAUACUCGAUAAUCUUCCCGAUCAUGAUCGAAUGGGAAGCAAUGGGUGAGAUUCCACCUGAGGAGCGGCUUACGCAGUAUCAGCUAGUUGGUGAGGUAACGGCUCACCAAGGCUUUGACGCUUAGGGGGUGUGAGAGCAUGGCCCCCACCACUGGCACUGAGACACUGGCCAGACACCUACGGGUGGCUGCAGUCGAGAAUCUUCGGCAAUGGACGAAAGUCUGACCGAGCGACGCCGCGUGCGGGAUGAAGGUCUUCGGAUUGUAAACCGCUGUCAGAGGGGAUGAAGUAUACGAGAGCUAUCUCUUGUAUUUGACAGAGCCUCAGAGGAAGCACGGGCUAAGUUCGUGCCAGCAGCCGCGGUAAUACGAACUGUGCGAACGUUAUUCGGAAUCACUGGGCUUAAAGGGUGCGUAGGCGGUUUUCUAAGUCACGUGUGAAAUCUUCCGGCUCAACCGGAAAACUGCGCGUGAUACUGGAAGACUUGAGUGAGGUAGGGGUGUGUGGAACUUCCGGU